AAUAUUGCGCAAUGGAGGGAACUCUGACGCAGCGACGCCGCGUGAGCGAUGAAGGUUUUCGGAUCGUAAAGCUCUGUCCUUGGGGAAGAAAGCGGCCAUUUAUGGCCACUUGACGGUACCCAAGGAGGAAGCCCCGGCUAACUACGGUCAAGCAGCCGCGGUAAUCCGGGGGGGGCAAGCGUUGUCCGGAAUUAUUGGGCGUAAAGGGUGGGUAGGCGGCCUUUUAAGUCAGAUGUGAAAGACCACGGCUUAACCGUGGGGUUGCAUUUGAAACUGGAGGGCUUGAGUAUCGGAGAGGGUAGUGGAAUUCCCAGUGUAGCGGUGGAAUGCGUAGAUAUUGGGAGGAACACCAGUGGCGAAGGCGACUACCUGGACGAAAACUGACGCUGAGGCACGAAAGCUAGGGGAGCAAACA
rnacentral:rRNA from 1 species